CCUACGGGGUGCAGCAGUGAGGAAUAUUGGUCAAUGGGCGCGAGACUGAACCAGCCAAGUAGCGUGAAGGAUGACUGCCCUACGGGUUGUAAACUUCUUUUAUAAAGGAAUAAAGUGAGUCACGUGUGCCUUUUUGUAUGUACUUUAUGAAUAAGGAUCGGCUAACUCCGUGCCAGCAGCCGCGGUAAUACGGAGGAUCCGGGCGUUAUCCGGAUUUAUUGGGUUUAAAGGGAGCGUAGAUGGGUUGUUAAGUCAGUUGUGAAAGUUUGCGGCUCAACCGGAAAAUUGCAAUUGAUACUGGCAGUCUUGAGUACAGUGGAGGUAGGCGGAAUUCGUGGUGUAGCGGUGAAAUGCUUAGAUAUCACGAAGAACUCCGAUUGCGAAGGCAGCUUACUAAACUGCCACUGACAUUGAUGCUCGAAAGUGUGGGUAUCAAACAGGAUUAGAUACCCUGGUAGUC
rnacentral:rRNA from 1 species